UACUAGAUAUCAGUCUCGUCAAAGAUGCCAGAUGUGGAAAACAUGCCAGAGCUCCCAAGGUAUCUCGGAGAGGACUGUUCAAAUUCAAUUUUUGAAACUUUCCAUGUACCGCUGGCGGCGUUUUAAAGGCUGAGUUAAAUUGAAAUGCUACAGAAGUACU